rnacentral:lncRNA from 1 species
UAUAAAGAAAGAGAAAGAGAGAGGGUGCGGAUAAGAGAAGUACAAUCAACUCAAGAUUGGAGCAAGUUGUAUCUUCUGAGGAUCCGAUUUCUGUUCUCGCUCCGAUUAUGAUCUUUAUCACCGGAUAGAGGAUUCUGAGAGAGAGGAGAAGAGAGAAUAUUGUUGGAAAUCUAACCUCUGGCUGCAAUAGAUGGUGAACGGAUCACAGUUUCUGCCACGACAAAGUCAGAGUCACCGCCUUUAAUUCGUUGGCUUCUUCAUCAUCUCGCGUUUGACGUCAAAGUGUUCUUCGCGACGAAAUCCAGGUUUUUUUUUAUGUUUUAUGUUAAAUUAGGAUAUCCAUGUGCUGAUAUGAACAAGAUAUUGCAGUGUACUGAAACUUUUCUUGUUUCCAAACAAAUAAUUAUAUGGUGA